rnacentral:lncRNA from 1 species
GCCAGAUGAGUCUGCCUUUGUUAUUGCCGCAAGGGAAGUAGGUUUCGAAUUUUACCAGAGAACACAAACAGCCAUCUCUCUUCAUGAAUUCAGUCCUUCAACAGGAAUGACAAUUGAAAAGUUAGUAUAAACUAUAACAUGUCAAAAAUUAUAUUGUUUCGUUUAUUUUCUUCUCUCACAAUUGAUUUACCUCUCAGGGACUACCAACUGUUAAAUAUCAUCGAAUUCAACAGUACACGAAAACGGAUGUCCGUUAUAGUUAGAACAGAGAAAGGCAAAUUAUUGCUUUUAUGCAAAGGCGCCGACAAGUUAGUUAUCUUCCCAAUCAUACAUAUACAUUUUUCUUCUUCUCCUUUUUCGAUUUUGUCACUCAGAGUUCUUACCAUAAAAGGGUGUGUUUGCUUUUAGCAUCAUGUUUGAACUGCUUGGGGAAAAUGGAAGGAGAUUUGAGGCCAAUACAACAGAUCAUAUAAACAAGUAUGCAGAUGCCGGAUUAAGAACCUUGGUGCUUGCUUAUCGUGAGCUUAAUGAAGAGGAAUAUGAUGUCUUCAACAAGAAGUACACUGAGGCAAAACUAUCUGUCAGUGCAGAUCGAGAUGAGAAGAUUGCUGCAGCUGCAGAAUUGGUGGAGAAGGAUUUUAUGCUUCUUGGCGCCACAGCCGUAGAGGACAAGCUUCAGAGUGGGGUAAGUAACUGAGUAUACCAUAUUAAGAUGAACAUUGUUAUUAUUUAGAAAAUAUAUCUUUUUAAAUAUUUUCUUGCUUAAACUAAAUAAACUCAUGCAUGUCUUCUUAGGUUCCUGAAUGUAUAGACAAGCUUGCUCAAGCCGGAAUCAAAAUUUGGGUGCUUACUGGAGACAAGAUGGAGACUGCAAUCAAUAUUGGGUAUGCUAUUCAUUGCAAUUAGAUAAUAUACUACUACAAACAUUAAGUAUUUAAUUUAUAAGGAAUUACAAAUCCCAAUGCUAACUUGGAUUAUAAAUUGCAGUUUUGCAUGUAGUCUGCUGAGACAAGGUAUGAAACAGAUUGUUGUCACCUUGGAUUUACCCGAAAUCAAAGCAUUAGAGAAAGAAGAAGGCAGCAAGGAAGCAAUGAAAGAAGCCAUUUCUAAGGUAACUUUUUUCACACAUCAAUUUAAAUAAGCACGAUAUCUGGUCUAACCACUACUUUUUUUAAAUCUAAUCCUACACCUCUAAUAAAAUUUCAGGCAUCGAAAGCUAGUAUUAUUCAACAGGUCAAUGAGGGGAAGAAACUUAUUGAUGCAUCUCCCAAUAAUGCAUUUGCUUUAAUUAUUGAUGGAAACUCACUUACAUACGCUUUGGGGGAUGAUGUUAAAGAGUUUUUUCUAGCUUUAGCCAUUGGAUGUGCAUCUGUGAUUUGCUGUCGUUCUUCGCCCAAACAGAAGGCUCUUGUAAGUUUUUGUUAUAACCAACCUACCAAAAUGUUGUUGUUCAUUCAUCUAAUUUUGAUAAGGGUGUAAAAAAAUGUAGGUCACAAGACUUGUUAAAGAAGGAACGGGCAAAACAACGUUGGGUAUUGGCGAUGGAGCAAAUGAUGUUGGUAUGCUUCAAGAAGCUGAUGUAGGGAUUGGUAUUAGUGGUUUUGAAGGAAUGCAGGUAAUAUAUCAAUUAUCAAAUACUUUUUCUAUUGAGAAUAUGAAGCUAGUUCAGUGUGUAACUAUUUAUUGUUAAAACUUAAAAAAAUUCAGGCUGUUAUGGCAAGUGACAUUGCUAUUGCUCAGUUCCGUUAUUUGGAACGUUUGCUGCUUGUGCAUGGACACUGGUGUUAUCGUCGGAUCACAUCAAUGGUAUAUCCUUAAGAAACAAAAAAAAUGCAUUUAUGUCUAAAAGUAUCAUUAUCAUUUGUCUCCCGUUAAUUAUUCUAUUUCUUUUGAUUUCACAGAUAUGCUACUUCUUUUAUAAGAACAUCGCUUUUGGGAUAACUUUGUAUCUAUUUGAAGCUUACACCACCUUCUCUGGCGAAGCCCUCUACAACGAAUGGUUCUUGUCAUUUUUUAACGUCUUCUUCACAUCACUGCCUGUAUUAGUUCUUGGUAUCUUCGAUCAAGAUGUUUCUGCAAAAUCUUGUCUCAAGGUAAUUUAAGAAUCACCUGUGUUUCUAUACAUGACUUGAUUUUGCAUCAAACAAAAUAUUAAGUGUCACUCUGUCAUUCCUGCAGUUCCCUCUGUUGUACAAGGAAGGCAUUGAAAACGUUCUCUUUAGUUACAAACGCAUAUUUGGUUGGAUCUUUACUGCAAUCCUUAAUGCAUUCACUAUCUUCUACUUUUGCACAGCUGCAAUCCAAGAUCAGGCCUUCCGUAAAGGUGGGCAAACUUUAAGCCAAGAUAUCCUUGGUCUUGUAAUGUACACAACUCUGGUGUGGGUUGUGAAUGUACAAAUGGCGAUCUUUGUCAAAUACUUUACACUUGUUCAACAUAUCACUAUAUGGGGAAGCAUAGCUGUGUGGUAUCUGUUCAUGUUGGCAUAUGGUGCUAUCACACCUACCAUAUCAACAAAUGCUUACAUGGUAUUCAUAGAAGCUGCAGGUCCCUCAGCUAUUUAUUGGUUCUUAACGCUGUUCGUUGUGAUUGCCUCUGUAAUUCCGUACUUUGCUUAUUCUGCAUUCAUGGUGAGGUUCUUCCCCAUGUUCCACGAAAUGAUUCAGUGGCAGAAGAAGGUUGAUGGGCAGAGUGAUGAUCCUGAAUUUGUAGAGAUGGUGCGUGCAAGGUCUAUAAGAUCGAACACGGUUGGGUUUAGUGCUCGAAGAGAAUCACUACUAUCCUAAUCCAUUUGUAUGUACAUAGCAUAUUUAUUUACAGUACACGGCCAAUUCCGAGCAUUGUCGGAUUACACGAUUGAAAUUUUGAAAUCAGUAGUAGUUGAGUAACUGUAAUUUGUAAAUGUACGUAAUUCACACAGUGAUACAGUUAGAGGGCCUUGAGAGGCAGGCAGAUUCUAUAUAUUGACUGAUAUACGUAGUUUAUUUGUACAUAUUUGUAUUUUUUUGGGUGAAUAAACAUUGGAUUUUAAUUAGUUUGCGGUCUUGCAGUCGUUUUCUGUUUACUCCUAAGAAGAUGUAAUUGAUAAUUCAGCGGUUUAUUAUAACUUAUAUAUAAGUGUAAAAUUGAGAGAAUAUUUGUUUCCAUUAAUAUAUUAACAGAAUAACACCUGAAUUCCUGAAUGUAGGGGUGAGAUCUGGGACCGAUCCGAGGCAGGGAAAAUCAUAAAAAUCCAAAUGAUUUGAUCCCGUUGCGAACAAUGGGAUGAAAACAAGUAGACAACUCUGUCUGAAUUGGGCACCAAAUAAAUUAAUUAUACACAUUUUUUAUUUGAGGCCGUGGCUCGUGUUGCGAUGUUGUAGACUUGCAGUGUUGAACUGUUGAUGUAUGAUUUUUGAACUUUGAAGCCAGGAAGGACCCAAGGGUAGGCUGGUAAUUCAGUGGUCUAUAUUCUACAAUUUGGAGGGGGAAAUAAAUACCUAGAUAUAAUUUUGAACAAUAUUUGCAAGAAAUAAUAACAAUAUUAAUUUCCCAGAGGGGCAGUCGGGCACAGGCCAUAUCUCAAAUCGUCUUUUGCUCCUCCUCAGUCCUCCCUCCCUCCCUGUUGAAGUCAUGAAAUGUAGGGUGUUCACCGUCCAACUUAUUCUUACUCUAUGCUAAGGCCUAAGACCCUAAGAUCAAGUUCAUCAUCCACAACGAUAUCACUUCAUUUCUUUGUAGAUUGGGCAUUUUAAUAAAAAAUGAUUGUCAUCGCCGCUGCUUCACUCCGAUUCUCAUCUUCUUCGCACGCUGUGUUUCCUUCUCUCUUUCUGCCGGUUCAUACUUCACGACAAUUCCUCCUGGUACCAGCGAGGCGAGACAGCAGUAUAUCUUGUAUCGAUUUUUCUCCUCCUCCUCCUCCUCCUCCUUCUCCUUCUUCGUCGUCGUCUGACGGAAAUGGAGGGAUGAGAUGGGAGUCUUUUCGCAAGAAGAAAGUUGUGAUGCGUGUGGGAUAUGUAGGCACGGAUUACAGAGGUAAUAUAUUUGCAUUUCCUCUCUCUUAUCUUCUUUAUUUCUAAAUUUCUUUUGUAUUUUUUCCCUUGUCCGUAUUUUCUUAAUUUCUCAUCCCCUUAAAAAAAAUCAAUCUUUCUUCUUCUUCUUUCAAAUUCAGGUCUGCAGAUUCAAAGAGGUCCUGGAUCAUUUCCAAGUAAGACAAUAAUCUUACUCUACUACUUGAUUAACUGAUUUUACAUUUCACUUUUCUUUUGCAUCGAUGUAGUUAAUAAUUGUGUUAUCAAUUUUUCGAACUAGUUCUUCAUUGUCUCUUUUUUAACUUUAUAGUUAAGAUAAAUAUUGAUAGGUUUAUAACUUUAUAUUGGCUUAUGUGAUCUUCAGAAUUUGGAUAACUAUUUUUUUUAAUGUUUCCAUCAAUGUUCACUUUUAAAAAAGUUUGCAACUUUAUACUGUCCACGAGUUUCAUACUACUUAAUGAGUUAUUGUUACUUUCUUAGUGUGUGUUCUUUCCUAUGUUAAUAUGUUUUACUUGUAUCUCAGAAACAUACAAUUUUUUUUAUCAUAUUAACUAUCAGGAGUCAGGACUUGUUAAUUUAAUUAAUGAUACUUACUACUAAAUCAUUGAAGAUCGAAAACCCAUUGUUAAAGGUUCAAAAUCUUACCUGCAGCAAUUGAAGGAGAAUUAGAAGCUGCUAUAUUUAGGGCAGGAGGUAUCCAUAACGGUAAUUUUGGGGAUCUUUACAAAAUUGGGUGGACUAGAAGUAGCAGAACUGAUAAAGGUGUAAGUGAUAUAUAUAUAGUUUCAUAAUCAUUAAUGCUAAACGACAUAUGUAAAGUUUUUUUUAAAAUUGAGGUAUAUAUUCGAUAUCUGUAACUGUAAAUCUCUAAUACUAAUUUGGUAUUAUGGAUCAGCACUGAAAGCAUUUUUGUAGGAUGUCAAAUAUAUAUCUUCAUUGAAAUUUGAAAUAAAAAAAUGGUUCAUUUGUUAGUCGUUACCCGGGAGUAGGAUCUAGGGGCAAUUUUUUUUUACCUGCUUUACAAAAUUCGCACCAUGCCUGAGACCCGCUGAUCCGCUGUUAUUUUGGAGAAGGAAUGAAGGAUGAAUCACAUCAUUCGCCUUAUAUUCUGAACCGCUCCGUUCACCCUUAUUUUUCAGGAGGCAGGCUUCUCUAUUCUUAUCUCUAGUUCCUACAAGAGAAGCCAAAA